rnacentral:lncRNA from 1 species
UAACUCUCCCCAUCUGCCUCUGCCCCCAGGCAUCAUGAGGGGCCAUUUCCGUCUAGGCCCCAUGGAGCGAUGUGAAGGGCCGGAGGAGAGUUGCCUGACAGAAUGGCUCAGGGAGGGCGUCCCAGGCAUAAGGGAACACACGGACAUCUAGAUCCCCCUGAAGUCAAUGAGACUCUGCACAGGGCCAGGGAUCCACCUGCAGGGAACAACUUACAGCAUGGGGCCUUGGGCACAUGACCUAGCUGGAGAGGUUUGGUGUUGCCCAGCAAUACAAAAAGAGUAAAUAAAACCUACUGAACCCCCCCCCCA